rnacentral:rRNA from 1 species
AUGGGAGAUGUUGGCGACGACCCCCUCUCAACCCAGUUGCCCAAGGAUAACGGCUGCGAACCACUGAGCUUGUCGGCGGGCGAUUCACAACAGUCAACAGGGAAAGAUGACCCUCAAGCCCCCUGCUGGACUAGAAGGAUCUGUAUUGGGCGAGCCCCUAUUGAGCGCACACCAUGCGCUGGAAGAAUAUGUGCCCUCAAAAAAACCUUAAGAGGAUACGUGGAGAAGAAGACAGAUAUUGUAGUGGUACCAGCUGUUGGAUACAACUUUGAUUCAUUGGGAGAAGCAUACCACUUCUACAAUCUGUAUUUGUGGGAAAUUGGAUUUGGGAUAAGAUAUGGAAAAGGUAGGCUGAACGUCGAGAGAACCAAAUGUUUGCAAGAAAUAGUCUGUGGAUGCUCGGGCAAACCAAAAAGAGGAAACACACGGACAUGCCGAUGCGAGUGCCAUGCAUUGAUACAUUUGCUUCGACCAAUGACAAUGGCUGGUACAUAA